rnacentral:lncRNA from 1 species
GCCACUGCACUGGGCCAGGAAUAUCUUUCUAUGACAAACGGUCUGGUUCUGUCACCCAGGUUGGAAUGCAGUGUCAGGAUCAUAGCUCCACUGUGUGACCUCAAACUCUUGGGCUCAAGCAACUCUCCUGCCUCAAGCAACUCUCCAGCCUCAGCCUCCGAGUAACUGAGACUACAGUCAGGGAAAUGAAGAGCCACUUUCAACAAUUCUGAAGAAGAAAUAUGGGAUGUUUUGCUUCGGGAUGGAGGCUGGAGCAGGAGUUUCUGGAGUCUGCCAGUACCCAGUUUGAAUCCCAGCUCUGCCUUUUAUCAGCUGGGUGUUGGGCAAGUUAGCUGACUUUUGUGAGUUUUCUCAUCAUUAAAAUGAGAACACUGUUA